rnacentral:lncRNA from 1 species
CCGAGCUAUUUCUAUUUUAAACACCAGACAAAGACCAAAAGGUUAACAGUUAGCCAAAGGAUUUAACACUCAUUCUAUCCAAAAGGCAACUGUAUGGACAAUUUUUUUCUCUCCUUAUACUUUUCUGAGUUUCUUCCGUGAUUGCUUUUAAGAUGGUGGGAAAGCUAAGCAUUAUUCUAUAAAAGAGAGGGAAAGACCCCCAAUAGAGAGGAGGCUAUAUCUUUGCUGGGGUUGCCUGGGUUCCUGCUGGAGUGAAUUAUUCCCCAGAGAAAAAAGGCCAUCAGGAAGCCUACUGUCAGUGGAGGACUGACGCCUAGUGGCCAAGGCGGAUAUUACAUGCAUACAUGUGGUGGUCUUAGACCCGCCCAUUGGUUCCAUCUACUUAAACAGUUACUUAGCGACAUGAAACCACUGUAAUAUGAACUCUCCUACCUUUAGACCUGCGAAUCCCAUUUUGAGAAAUACAUCUCACAUAAGUAAAUAUAUGUUUAUUAUUAUUAGUUAUAAAAUAUAUAUUAGCUACAAAGAUUUUCCCAGGGACUCUAUUACCAGUGAAAGAUGGAAGGCACCCCAGAUUCUAAGAGCAGGGAAAUUAUCAAUAGGAAAGAAUCUGCUCCUGGCUCUUUUUCUUUUGUUUAUUUAUUUUUUUUGAGACAGGGCCUUGCUGUGUCGCCUAGGCCGGAGUGCAGUCCGCGAUCUCGGCUCACUGCAACCUCUGGCUCCCGUGUUCAGGAGAUUCUUCUGCCUCAGCCUCCUAAGUAGUUGGGACUACAGGCACGCACCACCAUGCCUGGCUAAUUUUUGUUUUUUUGUUUUGUUUUGUUUUUUUGAGACGGAGUCUUGCACUGUCGCCUGGGCUGGAGUGCAGUGGCGUGAUCUCCAUCUCAGCUCAUUGCAACCUCUGCCUCCCAGGUUUAAGCGACUCUCCUGCCUCAGCCUCCCAAGUAGCUGGGAUUACAGGCACCCACCACCAUGCCCAGCUAAUUUUUUGUAUUUUUAAUAGAGAUGGGGUUUCACUAUGUUGGCCAGGUUGGUCUCAAACUCCUGACCUCGUGAUAAGCCUGCCUUGGCCUCCCAAAGUGCUGGGAUUACAGGUGUGAGCCACCAUUCCCGGCCUGCUCCUUGCUCUUAAAGUGAUGAGCGUGGACUACAUCUGCCCAUCUGUCUAAAGAAAAGCACAGACCAUUUUUACAAAUACACAAUUUUGAUAUAUUGCAAAAAUGUUUGUGCAGAACAGAAUGCAAUGAAAAAUUAGCUGCCUGAGUUUUUAUUACAAAGGUUAUAUGAACUAUAGAAUACAGUUUUACAAUAAAUAUAUUUCCUAAAGAAAGUCUACAAUUAAUAUUAUCUUCUAAAUAAAUAUUAUGACUUUUAAAUGUUUCCAAUGGUUAGACACAUAUAUUUGGCUAUUUAAAAAUAUUUCCC